rnacentral:rRNA from 1 species
AUCAUUAUUGAAUAAGCUUGGUUGGGUUGUUGCUGGCUCUUCGGAGCAUGUGCACGCCUAACACCAACCUUUUACCACCUGUGCACCUUUUGUAGACCUGGAUAUCUCUCGAGGAAACUCGGUAUGAGGACUGCUGUGCGUCAAGCCAGCUUUUCUUACAUUUCCGGUCUAUGUUUUUAUAUACACCUUCAGUAUGUCUAUGAAUGUUAUUAUUGGGCUUAACUGUCCUAUAAACUUAUACAACUUUCAACAACGGAUCUCUUGGCUCUCGCAUCGAUGAAGAACGCAGCGAAAUGCGAUAAGUAAUGUGAAUUGCAGAAUUCAGUGAAUCAUCGAAUCUUUGAACGCACCUUGCGCUCCUUGGUAUUCCGAGGAGCAUGCCUGUUUGAGUGUCAUGAAAUUCUCAACCAUUUCAGCUUUUUCUAGCUGAUUUAGGCUUGGAUGUGGGAGUUUGCGGGCUUCUCUGAAGUCGGCUCUCCUUAAAUAUAUUAGUAGGGACCUCUGUUGCCUCAGCUCUUGGUGUGAUAGUUAUCUACGCCAUUCUGCGAAGCAGCUUUAAAACGAGGUUACUGCUUUCUAACCGUCUCUACCGAGACAACUUCUGACAAUUUGACCUCAAAUCAGGUAGGACUACCCGCUGAACUUAAGCAUAUCAAUAAGCGGAGGAAAAGAAACUAACAAGGAUUCCCCUAGUAACUGCGAGUGAAGCGGGAAAAGCUCAAAUUUAAAAUCUGAGGGUCCUUGCGGCCUUCCGAGUUGUAAUCUAGAGAAGUGCUAUCCGCGCUGG